ensembl:misc_RNA 7SK 7SK RNA
GGCUGUGACAUCUCCAUCUGUCACUCCAUUGAUCGCCAGGAUUGAUUUGGCUGAUUUGGCUGGUUAGACAGGUGUCCCCUUCCUCCUUCACCGCUCCAUGUGCAUCCCUCCCGAAGCUGCCCGCAGGGUCGAAGUGGACGGCCUUCACUGAAUAGAGAUAGACCAGUCUUCAGUUGAGGGUAUAUGAGUAGCUGCGCUCCCUUGCUACAACCUCCGAACAAGCUCUCAAGCUUUACUGUAAUACAAUUAAUUUAAAAUUUAAGUCUCCUAUUUAAAAUACAUGGUUUAUUU